rnacentral:rRNA from 1 species
AGUGAACGCUGGCGGUAGGCCUAACACAUGCAAGUCGAACGGCAGCACAGUAAGAGCUUGCUCUUACGGGUGGCGAGUGGCGGACGGGUGAGGCAUACAUCGGAAUCUACUUUUUCGUGGGGGAUAACGUAGGGAAACUUACGCUAAUACCGCAUACGACCUACGGGUGAAAGCAGGGGAUCUUCGGACCUUGCGCGAUUGAAUGAGCCGAUGUCGGAUUAGCUAGUUGGCGGGGUAAAGGCCCACCAAGGCGACGAUCCGUAGCUGGUCUGAGAGGAUGAUCAGCCACACUGGAACUGGAACACGGUCCAGACUCCUACGGGAGGCAGCAGUGGGGAAUAUUGGACAAUGGGCGCAAGCCUGAUCCAGCCAUACCGCGUGGGUGAAGAAGGCCUUCGGGUUGUAAAGCCCUUUUGUUGGGAAAGAAAAGCAGCAGGUUAAUACCCCGCUGUUCUGACGGUACCCAAAGAAUAAGCACCGGCUAACUUCGUG